CUACGGGGUGCUCCAGUGAGGAAUAUUGCACAAUGGAGGAAACUCUGAUGCAGCAACGCCGCGUGGAGGAUGACGCAUUUCGGUGUGUAAACUCCUUUUAUAUGUCAAGAAAAUGACGGUAGCAUAUGAAUAAGCACCGGCUAACUCCGUGCCAGCAGCCGCGGUAAUACGGAAGGUGCAAGCGUUACUCGGAAUCACUGGGCGUAAAGGACGCGUAGGCGGGAUAUCAAGUCAGGUGUGAAAUCCUACAGCUUAACUGUAGAACUGCACUUGAAACUGGUAACCUAGAGUAUGGGAGGGGGAGAUGGAAUUAGUGGUGUAGGGGUAAAAUCCGUAGAUAUCACUAGGAAUACCUAAAGCGAAGGCGAUCUCCUGGAACAUAACUGACGCUAAGGCGUGAAAGCGUGGGGAGCAAACAGGAUUAGAUACCCUCGUAGUC
rnacentral:rRNA from 1 species